rnacentral:lncRNA from 1 species
CUGGCAAAUGUCCUGCUUGGGCUGGGCCCUUCGGUCUGCAUAGGUGGAGUUCAGGUUUAACUUCUGGAAAUUGGGACACAGAAAUAGUCCUGGGGUCCACCAGGAUCUCCACAUUAACUCUGUGAAGCCGUGUAGAUUUGGGAGUUGUUCUCUGAGCUUCCUGAGUGGGUUGUCUUCCUCAUUGUAAACACGAAAGGGAUGUACAUUUUAGGUACCAUGAGAAGACUGGGGAGGAGACAGUGACUAAUGAGUGGCAUCUGUUGCUCCGCCCGGAAAAACCUCCUGAGGUAUCUGAGCCUGUUCCCCUGGAGGACAGGAGCAAAUUCCUUUCCACCUGUGAUGCCUCUUAUCACUGUUGGGUUCACCCCAAGGGCUGAAGUCAAAUCUGGGGUGUGCAGAAGCUGCAUCCCCCUACCCCCACCCAGGGCUGUCUGGCAGAGUCCUAGCCCUCCCGGGAGCUGUUUGGAGCUUCUUCCAACUGAGUCACGCUCAGAGGUUGUUCUCUGAGAAGAAGGUGGGAAGGGAGAGCAGGGGAGGUGUUAGAAUGCGAAGCUGCUCUGUUCUUUCCUUAAAAUUUCUCUUUGCAGCUUGUGACAGUGCUUUCACCGCACAGAGUCAGAACAUGUAAAUGGACCAGGGACUCACUGGGUUCUGCAGCUGGUGGAGGAGAAUUGACCAGGGAGGAUCGAACAUGAGAUUCUUAUGUUGCCACCCUUGAGCCUCUUUUCUUGCUGAUUUUCAGAUAAAAUCAUCUCAGUGACAUUGCACAUGUAAGACUCUUGAGGGUCAAAACAUUCAAACAGAUAUUUAACAUGCCUUAGGACACACACAUGGCAUAUUAUAGAAAUUGCACUGAGGUGUCUACCCUGAAGAAAUCAGAGUCAACUUGAAAUGACCAUCUGCUAAGAAGAAUGAAAAGAAGGCCGUGGCAGGGAGAAGUGAAGAGCUGGGCUGUGCUGCAUGGGAGACAUCAAGACACCAUGACCAGCAAAAAAUACAACAGACAAAACAGCAAAACCCAAGUUUAAAAAAACAACUGACAAAAACUGCCCCUCCUUGACCAUUCCUUCUAAUCUGAAGGGAAAAUAUUUCCCUGUUGAUUAUUUACUUUUCUGUUUAGAUGUUUCUGGGCUCCAUAUAGGUCUAAAUCUUUUUUCCUUCUUUAUUGCCUCCCAAGGAACGUUUUUAGACAUUUUCCCCACUAAUUGCCAAACUCUUCCCCAUCAUAAAAUUUGAUUUCCCACCCGGGUGAGUGGUGCACACACUGUAGUCCUGAUUACUCUGAAGGCUGCGGCAGAAGGAUCACUUGAGCCCAGGACUUCUAGACUAGCCUGGACAACAUAGUGAGACCCUGUCUCAAAAAACAAAAAAAAAGGGUCAGGGAUUUAGCUCAGUGGUUUCACCGCCUGCUGUGCAAGUGCAAGGACCUGAGUUCAAUCCUCGGUACCAGAAAAAAAAGAAAAGAAAAAAAAUAGCACAAAUGUGUUUAUGAACCAUGACCCUAUGAGAAGCCAAACCAUUAUGGUAUUUAAGACGUUUUUCUCCUUAGCCCUUUAUCAUCCCUCUGAGACUUGAUUUGUGGCCCUGGGCAGCAGUCAUCCUUUUGAGAGUGCACGGUGCUCAGCACCUUCACCUUUACUCUCCUCCCGCUCAGAUCUUCCCGCUUAGGGGGUUCUGGGCUUCUUCUCAGUGGAGCCGACCUACAUGGUGGGGUGGGGAGCAUGAAAAAUAAGCUGGGUAUGGUGGUGCACAGCUGUAAUCCCAGCUCUCUGGAAGGUGGAGGCAGGAGGAUUUCAAGUUCAAGCCCAGCCCGUAUAAUUUAGUAAGUCCCUGUCUCAAAAUUUAAAAAUAAAAAAUUAAAAAAGGACUAUGGAUGUAGUUCAGUGUGAAGGCCCUGGCCUUAGUCUUCAGUAUUGGAACAAGAAAAAAAAAAAGCAGAAGAAAAGGAAAGAAAGAAAAACAGUAAAAUCUUUAUUGUGUUGAGCAAAUGCUUGAUGGUCCAUUCUUUCUAAUCUUCAAAGCAACCCUGCAAGAAAAGUUUUCAUUUGAGAAAGCUUAGGCUCGGAGAGGAUAAGUCAUCAUGAGCAUGCCAUGUUGUAGACAUGAAGACCACCUCUGAUUUGAAGGUUAGAGCCUCAGGGGUAAAGGGCUUCUUCCUCAUGAGGGCGAGGGAGAGGCCGUGGUGGGAGGAGCCGAGUGUCCACCAGCCUCUUCUUGUGUGCUUGUUGCUCUCGAGGUGGUUAAUCUACUUAGGUCAUUUAAUUCGUGCCCCUGCUCUGUGACAUGGAGGAGAUGUCCCUACUUUCAGAGACCAAAGGUGGAUUUGCAGCGAUUCUUUUGUCCAUGUUCACAAGGUCAGCAAUUCAUAAAGUCUAGGCUAUAAUCCCCGUCUGCCCUUCUUAAAACACUUCUGUCUCUUUUUAGGCUCCUGGCUUCCCCUUGAGGAGAGUGAGAAGCACCACAAUUGUAGCUUUCCCACACCACCAGUUUCUUAUGUGCGAACACCCCUUCCUCUUUUGAGUAAUAUUUAUUUAUUGUACAUAUUAAUGGCAUUUACUGUGACAUUUUGAUACAUGCAUGCAGCAUGCCCUGAUCAAAUCUACCCUCUAUGUUCCUGUUGGUUUUGCACAGUUAGAUAUGGUGAUAAAUAUAAACCACAAUGGUUUAAAAACUUUGUAUAGGUUACUGUCUUCACCCAUUACUAUCUUCACAAACACUUAGGCAUCUGGAAAUCCCAAGUUGGAUGCCACUGGUUUCUGAAAUGCCAAGGAGUGCAUUCCCUGGCGAUGACACAGCAGGAUGCCUUUCAGGCAGUCACAUUGGGCACAGUGUGGCUUAGGCUCAAGCCUUGGAGGAGUAGGGAGAGACAGAGCAGGCAGCAGGCUGCUGGGAGGAUCGGUGCUGGGUGACUGCAUCUGAUAGCUGAGCACAGGAGUCAGGUUGUGGGCCUCCUCGUUCCCCAGGGGCCUUGCUAUGCUCCUGGGGAGAGAACCUUUGUGUUUGUCUACCUGUGCAGAUCCCAGCCAGCAGAGCACAGUGGGAGGGCCCAGCCGCCAGGAGGUUUUGUCUGGGCUCAGAAUGGUGCAGUGGAGCUAAGACCUUAGGAGCAGUUGUCAGGGGUCCCCUUACAUCUUCUAUGAGGCCUGACCUGACAGCUGGGCGGGGCCGAUCCUUCCUUCCUUUCUCUGGAGAAAGGAUGCUUUGGGCUCCGGCAGGUGAAUUGCAAAUGCCUGAUUCAGUUGUCAGCAUGUCUGUCUCUCAGGAGCAGGAACGGCUGCGUCCUAUCAGGAAGAGGUGGAGGUGGUGACAGUCAGGGUUGGCUGGCUCUCCUGCCCUGCUGAAGAGAUCUAGAGGUUGGCGCGUGGGAUCCAGAGAGGCCGUGAUAGAACGGAGGGCAGUGGCUCUGGCUGAAGAAGCACCAGGGCUCUGAGGGCCUGCUUGUUCCUGCUCCCCUGCUCCCAGGCACCUCACUCUGCCUGGGGUUUGGCAGAUGAAGGGGAAAUUGGAGAAGACAAAGGCAAAGCAGAAGUGCCUGGGAAGCGCAUGUGUGACGCAGCUAGAAACCAGGCUGGCAGUCACUGAGCCUCAGUUUCCUCAGCUGGGAGAUGAGCGGAUUGGGACUGAUAACCUCUCAAUCCUGUUGAAGUUUUCUCCCUGGAUCUAUUAAUUCUUUCAGAUGGUUUUUAUCAAAAACUUGAAUAUGUCCAUGGGACCCCCUCCAGAUUCCAGCUACCAAACACUUCACUAAUAAGUGUUUAAGCCACACUCAUAACAGAAUCCAGCUGGCUCGGUCUUCUGAAAAUUGUGUGAUUCUGUAUAUGAGAUUGGAAUGCCACACGAAGGUGGCAAAGCAGCAUUGGAAACUAUUAUUUACUCUAACUUAGAACUAGAUUUACAAUGGAUAAAGCAGCCAGCAAAUAACCAAUACAACUGUGUGUCACGAAUUAGAUGGUGGAAAAAUUACGUAUGCACUUAUGUUUAGACUCAGAAAUCUAACUUCUAAGAUUUUAUUUCCCAAAUUAUAGUGAUAAACAAUGUGAAUACACACACAUUCACACAAAGUUAUUAAUUGUUGCUAAUUUCUUCAUUGGAACACAUCAACUAUGUUUAAGUGCAUAGUGGUAUUCAGGAUAAAACACGUCACUGGUCACAUUUAGAAGAUUUAUUACUUUUAAAACUGGUAAAUAAGGAGAAAGGAUCAGGUGUUUACUCUGCCUUUCUUAUACAGAUUGUAUCUCAGGACACUCAGUAGAGGAGGGGAAGUUUCUCUUUAUACAGAUAUUCCAGCUGAUACAUGAAGGAGUGAUAGAAUGUUUAAAUCUAAAUUGCAGAGUCUAGAAAAUGUUCACAAUAACAGUUAACAUCACUAGAAGAAAGAUAAUAAGAGUUUAUGUGUCUUUUGAUAGAAGUAUCAUAAUAUUACCUAUUAAGUAGCGAUGAACAACAGCAGAAACAAUAACAAAAACCUAGCCUGAAUCUAAAGAACAGCACAUCCAGGAGAACUUUCUGUAAUGAGAUAGUGCUCUGUAUAUGCGCAGAACAUACAUGCAGUCCAAUAGAGUAGCCACUAGCUAUGUGUAUAUGUCAAGCAGUUGAAAUAAAGACUCGAGUACCUGAGGAACUGAGUUUUACAUUUUAUUAAAUUUUAAUUAAUUUAAAUUUAAAUAGCCAUAAGUGGCUGUGGCCUUCUGCAUUGGACAGCACAGGUCUAGAGCUGCCUGGAAGACAGGAGACAAAAGAACAUGUUAAAGGACACCAUAGGAAUGCAAACAAAAUGUAGUUUAUGGAAAUUAGGUGGCAAACCAUCUGGCUCAUCAAUAAAUAAGACACAACAAUAAAAGAGAGUUGGAGAACAUAAGAGUCAUUGAUGAUUAGUGACACCCACCAGUUACAAGCUCCAGAAGUCAUUUGGGUGCUGAUUUCAAUAAAUAAACUAAAAACUAUGAUGCAACUGGAAAAUGUAAACCUUGAUUAUAUAUUUAAAGGUGCUAAAAAUGAUUGCUUUUAGGUGUAAUAAUGGUACAGUUAUUUUAAAAGAAUCCUAUUCUUUUAGACAUACUACUGAUGUGUAUAUAGGUAAAACCACAUGAUGUUGGGAUUUGCUUCAAAAUCAGUCCAGUGGCUGAGUUAGGGGGCAGAAAGUUGGAGAAUUGAGAGAGAGAACAGAUGAUGUAAGAAUGGAAUAAUUGUUUUUUUUUACAUUGGUACAUUUUUAGGUAUACAAUACAUUUACAUUUCUCACUGGGAAUUGUACCUUUACAUGAUGCAUCUUUUUAUUUUUCCCCAUUCCUAGCCCUCCCUUCACCUCCUCCACCCUUCCCUAUUUACAAAGACUUUGUUUCCAUUUUUUCCAUUUCUCAUAAUUUUUCCUUUCCCCUGCCCCUCCCACUUCCCUGACCCCUUUGGACCUUUUCUUCCUAUUUUGCAUUAUCGAUUAUUCAUUCUAAUCAUUGGUACAUUUUAGGUAUACAAUAGAAUGACAUUCAUCAUUGGAAAUUUGCACCUUCGCAUAGUCUCUCUUGGUUCUUACUUCCCCCCCUUCCCCUGCCCUCCCUUCAACCCCUCCAUUCCUCCCUAUUUACAAAGACUUUGUUUCCAUUUUUCCAUUUUCCCAUAUUAAUACCAUUCCCUUCUUUCCUUUCCCCUACCCCUCCCACUUCCCCUUCCCCUUUGCCCCUUUUCUUCCUAUUUCACAUUAUCUAUUAUACCUUUUAGUCCUUAUUUACACUUUCAGUUUCUCACACUAGAGAAACUAUUCGGUAUUUAUACAUGUGAGUCCUAUUUAUUUCACUUAAGAGUAUCGCCUCAGUGUGCAUCCAUUUAACUAUAAAUGUCUCUAUUUUCUAAUUUUUUAUGGCUGAGUAGUACUCCAUUUUUAUAAAAAACCCCACAUUUUCUUUAUCCAGUCUUCAGUUGAUGGGCAUUUGGGCUGUUUCCAAGUUUUAGCUAUUACAAACUGUGCUGCUAUGAACAUGGGCGCACAUAUAUCCCUGUGGUAUGAUUCUUUUAAUUCUUUGGGGAAGAUCCCCAGCAGGGGAAUAGCAGGGUCAAAUGGGACUUCCAGUCCUAGUUCUUUGAGGUAUCUCCAUACUGAUUUCCACAGUGGUUGCACCAGUCUACACUCCCACCAGCAGUGGAGCAGGGUUCCUCUUUCCUCACAUCCCCGCCAGCAUUUGUUAUUGGUUGAUUUCAUGAUAGCAGCCAUUCUUUCUGGGGUGAGGUGGAAUCUCAGCAUUGUUUUCAUUUGCAUCUCUCGAAUGACCAGUGAUGUUGAACAUUUUUUCAUGUAUUUAUUUGGUAUUUCUGCGUCUGUCUGAGAAAUGUCUGUUCAUUUCAGCUGCCCAUUUUUGGAUUGGGUCUUUAAAUUUGGGAGGUCUGAUCUUUUAAGUUCUUUAUAGAUUCGAGAUAGUAGACCUUUGUCUGAGGAAGAGCAGGUGAAGAUUUUUUCCGAGAUUGUGGGUUGUCUCUUCACACUGCUGGUUUCUCUUGCUGUGCAGAAGCCUUUUAAUAAGAAGAGAUCCCAUUUGUUGAUUGUUUGUGCUAGUUUACAGGCAACUGAGGUUUUGUUCAUAAAAUCUUUUCCUACACCAAUGUCUUCAAGGGUUCUACCUAACCUUUCUUUCAGCCGGUUCCGCGUUUCUAUUUUAAUAUUUAGAUCUUUAAUCCAUUUUGAUUUUAAUUUAGUGCAUGGUGAGAGAUAUAGGUCUAGUUUUAAUCUUUGUUAAGUUGAAACCCAAUUUUUCCAGUACCAUCUAUUAAACAGGCUAUCUUUCUUCCAGUGAGGGUGUUUGGCUCCUUUGACGAAGAUGAGGUGGCUGAGUGUGUCUGGAGUUGUUUCUGCAUCUUCUAAUCUGUUCCACUGGUCCUCAGGUCUGUUUCUUUGCCAGUACCAUGCUGUUUUUAUCACAGUGAGUGACUGUUCUCUUUGGUCUCCACCAACAGCACAGAGAACAGGCUGAGAAGCAGCUUCUUUUGUACAGUGAGCUCCCUGGACCAUCCAGGACUGGGUUUGGGGCAUGCGCCAGAUAUUUUUGUGUUCACAACACUAUUUUCUGCCAAAGGCAGUCCUGUGUUCAUUCUGAGCAAGCUUCUGGAAGGCCUCAGUGGCUGUUUAUUUCUUCUGUAUUAAGUGUAAUAGGAUGGGCCCUUCAUUAAUUAUAGGCUUUCAGGGAGUUGAUAAACAUACGGAGAGAUAGAAGUUUCUCUGCCUUCUGAUGGCUUCAGGCACUAAGCAAAAACCUGUAUUGCUCAAAUGAACAUAUGUUAACACCAAGUUUCUCCACACUUUCCCCAGCUUCUUUUAAAAUAGAACUAUUACUGUGAUGGAAGCUAGAAGGGCUAAGCACUAAGGUGGUAGAAUUUGUAGCUAGGAGUGGCUUAUAAUCACUCCUUUUUCUAAGCCCUACAUCUGGGACUGGCUACAUUAUUUGGGGACCUUUUAAAAAGAAUUGUAGAUAUUUUUUGCAUCCCACUCUCAAGGAAUUUGCUUUCUUAGAUCUGCACUGAGGUCUGAAAAACUCUAAUUUUGAAAGGGGUCUUAGGGGAUUCUGAUGCCUGAGUUUGGGACUGCUAAUGAUGGCAAGUUUGUUCUAGACAGGGAUUGAAGUUUUUCUAUUCUUUUGCUGGCAUCAGUCAAGGUCUUUUGUGUGUAAGGGCAUGCUUUUCUUCUGGAAGUCUUGGAGUUUUCAGGAGCAUCUUUGCAGUUUGCUGUUCCAGCCUACUCCCACUCCAUGUAACAGGCCAGUCGGUCAAAGUGUCCUGGUUGAGUACAGACAGGUCCUGCUAAGGGCUGGCUCUGCCACUUACCAUCUUGGAGACUUAGAGCACAUUGCCAAAUUCCUGUCAUUCUCACUUUGCUUAUCUCAACAGCGGUAAGAAUAGUAACCGCCCAAGGAGCUGCUCCAGUGAAGAUUAAAUGAAAGCUUAUUGCCUGGCACACUGUGAGUGCUCAACAUGUAGAUGAUGUUACAAUAUUAUUAUUAUUUUCCUGAAGGUUCAAGUUGUCAAAUAGGUUUUUUUUAUGGUCAAAGGCCACAUUUGCUAAUGUUUUUCUGCCAAGGGAGAUUAUAGAAAAUUACGUUCAAUGAGAUGAAUACUUUACAUGCAAGCAUAAGCCUGACACUUUCUUGCAGAAAUUUGCAGUAAAGAACAAAGGGGCUCACAGUGUCAGGGUAAGGGUUCCUCAGAUCUCCUGGGCUGAGGAACAGCAGAGAGAUGAAAUGUCAUGUGGCUUUUGCAGGAAUCCCAGUGCAGGCUGGAUGGUGGCAGGAUGGUGGCUGGACCCUCUACGGAGCUCGAUGUGACUGAAUCCCACACUGCAUGUAGACAGUGAAAGAGUCUGAGAUUUCUAGCAGACGCUUUCAAAGGUCCUCCCAACUUCCUGUUUCUGCUGAUUCUCCACCGCUACCUGUUGUAACACCCUUCUUCCUGCUGCUUGCCCUGAGCCUUGCUGUUCUGUCUUUUCUCUCCCUGCUUUCUUCUUUUUUAUGUUUGGUACAUCCAGUUUAUUUCAAGUGAAGAAGUUUACCUACCUUGUUUGCUACUUUUUCUCUUGCAGACUCAUGUUCUUGGGGUAUCUGUUACCCCAAGUGGCAUUUCAAGGGAUUUUCUAAAGCAAAGACAGUAACUUUCUGAAAGGAAUUAUGCUGCUUGAUCUUAAAGUGAUACUUAUUUGCUAUGUCUUUCCAAGCUUAAUAUUCAAGUAAUGAGAUGCUGAACAAAUAUGGGCAUGAUAACAUGGGUGUUGAUGGUGAUGUUAGUAAUAAGAGACUAAGUGGAUCCAAGAGACAUUUAGGAAUGAUGAGAGGUCAUGGCAAAUUGAUCAUAGAAGAAAAACAAAAGGAAGGAGAUGGAGAAAACAUUUAUUGAAUGCCAGUAUCUCAUAUAUUCCCAAUAACAAUCCUAUUCAAAUUGGUUUUAUCUCAAUUUUCCAAGAAACUGAAGUUCAGAGGGAAUAAACAUGCCCAAGAUGACUCAGGCAGUAAAUAUGAAUGACCCAAGAUCCAAGCCUGUUGCGUUUUAAAAACUCAUGUCUUUGCAUUAUAUGCUUAAUCACUUAAUGCUAUUACCAUAGGGGACAGUAACAUCCAUUGGAAAACUCUUUAGUCCAACUCUUACUUGAAUCUAACUGUGGACAAGAUAAUUUUUGAUGAAAGUAAAACUUAGGAUAUAAUUUUAUUUUCUUACAAGCUACAGUUUAGAUCUUGAUGUAAAUUCUUUGUUAUACGGUUUCUUCAAAACCUGCUGCCCCUACUGCAAACGAGGCUCCUCUUACGUGUAAGGCCAGGUCUGGUGGCUGGGAAGUCCAGGGGGACUGAUGUCCUCAGUGUAGUUGCUGUCCAGGGGCACACUGGGCUGCCUUACUCUUAAGGGAGGCAUUUAAACAAAGACUAUGGGACUUGUUUAGUUGAGAUAUUGUUGUAUUCCAAGAAGAGUCUUGUACCCUUUAUAGCAUAGUAUAUUCCAUUCAUGUGGCCAAGGAUAACUGGUCAAGCAUCAUUUUCUGUUUCUUCUUCCAUUCUUUCUUUUUUCUUCCUUUCUUUUCUCUUUCUUUCUUUGUCUUUCUCUCUCUCUCUCUCUCUCUCUCUCUCUCUCUCUCUCUCUCUCUCUCUCUCUCCCUCUCUCCCUCUCUCUCUCUUUCUUUCUUUCUUACUUUUGGGACAGGGUCUCCCUUAUAUAGGUCAGCUAGCCUUGAACUCACUAUGUGGCCCAGCCUGGCCUCAAACUCACAGUGAUCCUCCUGCCUCAGCCUCCCUAGUGCUGGGAUUACAGAAGUGCACCACUAUGCCUGGCUCAAACAUUAUUUCUACUUCAUUUUUGGGGAAGACAGAAUACUGAGCUUUCUUAAUAUGUUUUUAUACAUUCUCUUUGUAAUGGAAAUUUUUAUUUACUCUAGCAAUGUUUGUUGGUCCCUCCAGCAGACCAUAUAUAUUUUACUUUGAAGAAGCUGGAUAAUGUUUAUACAUCUGCAGAAACUAGCUGGAGGAAUUGAGAUUCUUAGCUGAUAUAUUUCUUUAAGAAAAACAUGAAAGGGUAAACACAACACUGCUGAGGUAUGGAGACUGCAACGUGCUCAAAUGUACUUUUCCUUGGUGUUCUUGGAGCAGAAUUUAAUAGUAAAUGUGUAUUUCCUGACAUUAGUGAAUAUACUGCUCCAUAUCUCUCUGGCUCUUGAGUUGAUGUGUUCACAGAUUUUUAAGCAUUGGCUCAUUCUUCCUCAAAUAGAUGGAGGCUGGUAACAAGUAAUGAAAAAAAUUGAAAACUAGGGAAAUGACAUGAAAUUUUUCCUUCCUCCUUGGUAUAAACCUUCUUAAUAAUUGAUGUGCACAUCUUUUCUAGUGGCCAAUGGCCUUUCUUUAAAAGGAGAUAGAACAUGCAUGAAGCUGAGAGAGACUUUCUGAGACUUUCUGUGGUCAGCUCUGCAGCCUUGAUCUCCAACUCGCUUUCCAACACAGGGGCAGCACUCACACAAGGACACACUUCUCCCACUCUAGUUUGUGUAGCUGAGCCUUCUUUGGCUGCUGGUCUGUCUGUCUCUCCCACCUAGGAAGGCUCUAUGAUUAACUCUGGUUUAUUUCUGCUGGGUUAAUUAAUAUAUACAUAUAAGUGGUUGCUGCUUCUUUUUAAGGUGUGACUAGAACUGGUUUUCAUGGAACACACUUGGAGCUUAAAGCAAAUGUUGCGUCUGGCUUUGGGAAACAUCCACAGUGAAUAACAAGUCAAAGCUACUUCUACCGGUGGAGUCCACCAGGGACGAGUUUAUGAUGAGUCAACCCAAGACCCCAUCUGGGCUCACUGUGGGCAUUGGAGGAUGACAAGGUCUCCCUAUGUUAUCCAGACUGGCCUCAAACUCCUAGGCUCAAGUGACUCUCCUGCCUCAGCUUCCUGAGUAGCUGGGACCACAGGUAUGUACCACUGCAUCUAGGUAGAGAGAAUUCUUUCUUUCAGCCUUUUGUUCUAUUCAAGGCUUCAACGGAUUGGAUGAGGCCCACCACAUGGGCACUCAGCUGUACUCCAUCUACUUAUCAGAAUGUUAAUCUCAUUCAGAGACACCCUCAUAGAUAUGUCCAGAAUGUUUGACCAAAUAUCUGGGCACCCUGUGGCCUGAUCCCACUACCAUGGAAAAAGGCAUGGUCACUUGGUUAUCACUAUGGGCAGCUGGAGCUGAGUCCUGUCGGAUGCUGGGAGCCAGUGUGAAGCAGCUUAGUUGGUCCCACUUCCACUGUCACUGAUUGUGGGCUGCUGUGGAGUUCAGGUCCCUUACAUUUCUGUCUCGCUCAGGCUGGCAGAGGGGCUUUGAGCAAAGGAAACCUGCAGGCAAAGCAAUGUAAGUGGUGGCAGUGAGGAGCCCAGCUCUCGCAGUAGGAAGAUCAUCUGCACCAAGCUAAAAAGGUCUGCCGUCCAGUUCAGUAUAUGCUUUUGUAUCCUCAACAAUUUUAAAGCUGGAGAUUGAUCUUAAGUCUGAGACACUGACACUGAGAAACUGACAUUGAGGACUUGUUCUCAGAAAAGAACUUGUGCUCUUAUGACAUUUUCUGUGGGGACAACCUACAAGAAAGGAAUGGGGACCCUGUGAGGAGAAUCUCAAGUGACUGAGUUGUUGACUUGACAGCUGGAAUCUCUGGGAGCUGAGGCUCUAGGUCUCUGUCAUGUUCAAGUUCAACCUUGGGCAGUGUGGUGUGAUCCAGUGUCUUCAAAUUAGGUGUCUAAGUUUUCUUCGUUGCUGAGACAAAAUACCCGACAUCUAAAGUCAAAGGGGAAAGGUUUAUUUAGCUCACAGUUUAUAGAUGUUUCAGUCCAUAAUUAGCUGGCUCCAAGGCAGGGUGGCACAUGGCAGAGGGGGGUCAUAGAGGAGAAACAGCUCAUGGCACUGACAUGGUAGCAAAUGCAACAAGGGAACCUUAGCAUCAUCUUUCUGCCCUUUUUAUCUUAUCCAGACUGGAGGUAUUAGGGCAGUGCCAAACCAGUCUGUGUACUGAUUUAGUAAUCUCAUGGGCUUAAUCUCAGUAUCACACACUGUAGAUCCAGCCACCUCUGAAAAAGCCACCUGUGACCACAUGAGGCUUUGGGGGGACGUCUAGACACAAGCCAUAACAUGAGGAAACCAAGGCUCAGGCAGGAAUUAGGUCCAAGUUACAGAGCUGGAAAAUCACAUAGAGUUGGACCCAGGGCCAUGUGGCCAUAAAACCAGCACCCUUUCCUUAAUACCUGGGGCCCUUCCCAGGGAGGUGCACAUGAACUAAUAGUGGCAUAAUUAUGUACUUGAACUAACUCACCCAGGCCGUGGCAGCAAGUUGUUCUUCUGAUGGGGGAAUGUGUCACACUGACACUCUGCCUCCCUGGCCCCCCAUCCCAGGCAGUAUUGGUAUGGUCUUGUGUUUGAUGCUAUCCAGCCAGCUCCUGCUGGGUUGACCCAUACUCUUGAUCAAUUGAUGAUUCUCCUUGAAGCACAGGAAGUCAGCUGGUAAUAUUUCACUUAGAAUAACAAACUGUGAACAAAACUUGGCUCUCUUUUAUCCUUCUGUUGUUAAAGUUAAUACACAAAGGGAAGCACAGUGCUUCUCCUUGUUUAUCAUCACAUCUGAUCCACAGUCCUACUGAAGGGAGGAACACCUCUCUGUAUUUGCACAGGAAUGGGCAUUUGACCAAAAGGGGACAAAUCUGAUUAUACUUUCUGUACUGAGCUUUUAGUUCUGAUGCUCUGAGAGGCUGAAAUAGUCACACUGGCCAAACAUUCUGCAGAAUUAGGUUUGAGCCUGAGAUACGGGGGCACAGGGGAGCCUGGUGGAUGCAGAGAACAGACAGAUGCUUGUAGGGAAGCAGAGAUGAGAGUCCAGAUGGCUCAUGGGAAGGGAUUUGGAAUCCUGCAUCCCCAUGUCUCCACUCCGUGGCUAGACUUUCCUCCCCUCGGGUAGUGGAGUCACCCGGUCAUGCUGAAAGACCCCUGCCCUCACAUGGCUUGGAAGGGGAUGUGGGUUCCUCUUCACACACCCGAUCCUCAUCAAGAUGACUUGGGAGGAGCCCGUGGCUUUGACCACAGAUGCCGCCUCACCACAUGCAGGAAACUUUGCCCAGAAUGGACAUGGAGCACUAGCAAUUAAGCCUGCCUGGGGAAAUCCAAGCUCAGCAUAGAUCUGGCCCAAACCCUCAACCGAGACAAAGCCACAACCAUCAAAAGGGAGGAACAUUAAUGGUGACACAGAAGAGUGGAUUCCAAUUACCAGGUGGUUUCUGUAGAAGAGGCAAAGUGCAACUUGAUCAUUUGGCUCUCAUAUCCUUAGGGAAUUGUGAUUUAUUUGUUAAUUUAAAAAGAUAGACAACAGGGCCGGGGAUUUAGCUCAGUGCUUGCUGCACAAGCACAAGGACCUGAGUUUGAUCCCUGGUACCAGAAAAACAAAACAAAAAAACGAAGCAAAACAAAAAAGAUAGACAGCACCCCAAAGCCCUAGCACAAUCAGCCUGAGACUACCAAGGGCAAAUCUGUGGCCCAGUCAGCUCAGAUUUAUUGGUCUAUUUCCACGAUGGAAACAUGACCAGAAGAAUUGUGGGGCAUCUCACCAAACCCAGGAAAACACAGAAUUAAUCUGGAAAUCUUGGGACAGAUAAAAUCUAGGUGAAAUGAAAAUAAAGCUACAAAGCAAAGCACUGUUGUGCGUAGGGGGGUCCGAUGUCGGGUCCAGAUGGUGAAUUGAACCCCGUUUGUUGUUUCCUUGAAACGACCAAGUUAAGAUCCAUGUGAAUGUUGUCUUCAGAUUCAGAAGCCCUGUGGGAGCUGGACUCCAGGGCUGGAAACUGAGGCUGCUGCUCUGUGGCAAAGUGACUUGGAUCCUCCAGGGAGGGUGAGAUGUUUCACUCUUACUGAUAAAAUUUCCAACAGUGGCAUUUCUAACAGUCUCUGGUUUCAGAGAUCAAGGCUUUUCAGGAUGCAGGAAAACAGUAGUUACUCAAAAUAGGCAAUAAUGUGCAGUGUGUUCUUGGGAGAAAUAUUGUUUCCUUUUGCUUUGCUUUUUUUUUUUUUUUCUAUGCCUGUUAUCCCAUCCUGAAGAAUGGCUGGGUGACCUUUGUCUUUCUCAGUCUGAACUAAUACUUGCUUUCUCUACAUUUUGGGGGACUCUUUGGAGGAGAAUAUGGAGUUAAUGCUCUUCAAUUUUCCAAAACUUGUGAAAAUUUGUAACUAUCCUAAAUGAGCUCAGGCCAUUACCAGUGUUUGGAGGGGAGCUGGGUAGGGCCUGGCAACCUUGUUGGCAUUGUGGCUAGGAUUUCCCAGUCCUGAGAGGUGACAUUUCACAGGGCAUUGUCCCUGCCUUUGAGUCUCUUGGGUUCCACUUUCCUGUUUUUAUUCUAUUAUUUACUUAAAUUUUAAGAAGCAAAUUCACAUCUUGUACUGAAAUAAACGCAUUAUAAAAUGAAACCUGUAGUCACUAUCAUAAAAGGGAAAAUAGUAUGCCUUGCAUAAUUUCACAGUAACCAUGGAAAGGACAUAAACCCCACCAGGAUUGGUUUUCUUUCUAGAUUAUUGCCUGUCAAAAUGCACAAGCUUGAAGCUCUCUUUGCCUUAGAAAAAGUGGGCAGGGUAUGGAGAUUAUUAGCCAAUGUCAGGGCAGUGUUAAACCACAUAACAACAGCAUCAGACCCAGACAUUCUCCAUCAUAUAAUCAGAAAGAUGAAAGAGAGUUAAAAGAAGAGUCUCACACCAGGCACCUUGGUCCAUUAGUGGGGCUGUAAUAACAUGCCCGUGGCUGGGCAACUUAAAAGAAAUUGAAAUUUGUUUCUCCUAGUUCUGGAGGCUGGGAAGUCCAAGAUCACAGAGCUGGCAGGUUUGGUGUCUGGUGAGGGAUCUCUGCCUCCCAGUUGGUGUCUUGUUUCUAAGUCUUCAUGUGGCAGAAAUAGCAAACUCUGGGUCCUCAUGUGGUGGAACAGACGGAAGGAGCAGGCAGCUCUUCUAAGCCUCAUUUGUAAGGAUAUCAGUCCACUUCCUGAGGAUGACUUAAUCAUUUUCUCAGAGGUCCCACCUCAAUACAUCAUCGUAGGGGUUAAUACAUGGAUUUUGGAGGAGCACCUAUGUUCAAUCCUGGGCACCAGGAUUUGGUAUUAAGGCUGUUUGGUUAUCUCCAAAUCAUCCAAGUGCUCACACAACUGUGUAUUCCACUCUCUUAAAAACUGGCAUUGUGCUUCAAGGGCACUGGCUGCACAGUGAGAACGCCCAGAGUGGAAUUAAAUGCCACCACUUUAGAGGUGUGUGGUCCUGGGGCAGGUAUAUAGGUAUUUAAGGCUCACUUUUCUCAGCUGUACAAUAGGCAUAGUAAUUGUUGCUAUCUCUCAUGGUUGCUCUGAGGAUUUAAUGAGCUGAUCCAUGGAAAGCCAUUAGCCUGGUGUCUGUCAGACAGUUUCCACAGAUGUGAGCUAGGCUUCUGAGACAAGCUCGAGUCCUGUCUGUCCCCUUGUAAAGAAAGGGUAUUACUAGCCUUGCUUCCUUCCCUAGAGUGGCAGGAGAGGCCUGGGAUGAGCACUGCUGACUUCUUGGAGAGAAGUUUUCUUGGACGAGGUCAAAUGGUGAGUGUGCACCACCGGGAAAGGCUGGAGAGACCUGGGACUUCCAGUGUCAGAGGAAUGUGACUCUGUUGGUAAUAAAGGCCACAGACCCAGAGCCUUGUUCUGUGCUUUCCCCAGUGACCUUUCUUAGGGGCUGAGGAUGAGUCUGUGGGGAUUUUAGUCCUCACAAGUUGUGGGGGUUGCACCCAAGAUCCCCAAAGCUAAAUGAGCUCUGGAGUUGAAAGUGGGCAAAACAUUUUCAACACAAGAUGAGUUCAAGCUCAGAGAAAUCAAGCCAGAACCUUAAAAAAUGGCAAGCAGGGACUCAGGAGCCAAAGCCAAGUCUGUGGGAGAAACAGUGGCAGAAUGGGGGCAGGCUAGUGACGGGAGGAGGUACCACAGGUGGCUGCUCACAGCCACGGGCCGUCCAUCACUCAUGGCUGCUGGCCUGGCUCAGACAUGCAAGGUCAGCUUUCAUCCCUUCCCGGAAAUCUCAGGUUGAGUCAGGGUCAGGCAGGUGUAGACCCAUGAUCAAUUCAGAGUGAAACCCAAAACCCCCAGAGCAUCUCGGUCUCACCUGAAUCAAACCCUGCCUGGCAAACCUCCAGGGUAUAACAUCUGUCAGCCCUUUGUUCUCAGGCAUCAACUGCCCUGGGGUGUGAGCCACAUGGAGAACCCCCUACCUCCUUUAUGUGGGCUGCGAAUGGAAAUUUUUAUGUUUACAUAAAGCAUGGGGAUGCUGUAUUUGGAAACGAAAGGCUCAGAUAAACAGGCAUAGACAGAGCUUACUGCCAGGGCUCUCUGUGGCUGUACUUGACCCCAGCUGUAGGCUCAGCAGGUGAAAGAUAAGGUUAAGGCCCUGUGCUUGUCAAACACUGAACUCAUAGAGAAGGCUGGAGAGGGAGAAGCAGAGCAGGAUUCAGAGAGGAUUUUCUUUUUUUCUCAUGUCUAUCUCCAUCAAAGUCUGAAAGCAUGUCCUAGGGGAGCUGGGUGAAAAUCACUCAGGGUGCAAGGAGAUGGGUGGUUUGUGAGUUUGCUCAUCUCUUGAGCAUCCAGGAAAAAGGCAAGAAAUCUGGAGAGGUGUGCUGGAUCAUGGAGGGUUGGCUUUGGAACCAUCAUUUUGUUCCUCAUUUUCCUUUUCUUCUCUUCCUUCCGGUCCCACUUGAGGGGAAAUGUUAACAUCUCCUUCAUUUCUCCCUGGCUACAGCAUGAUUUUUGCCAGAAUACUAACUUUAAAAGUUUUCUUUGUGACUCUGUCUUGAUAAAAAAUAAUAGAAACAGACAUUUUGAUGCUUACAAUGUGCUAGACACUGUUCUAAGUGCUUGGCAUGUUCUAGCUCACUUAUUCCCGAGACAGCACUGUGAUGUAGGCGCUGUUGUCUUUCGCGUCUUAGAGGGCAGGAGUUGAGAUGUGGAAGUUACUGCACCUGUACCAAGCCAUGGAGCUGAGUGGCAGAGGCACGAUUUGAACCUAGAAUCUAGAUGAGGACUCUCAGCUCUCCUCCACGCUGUCUGUGGGAUGAAAGCCAAGUUCAUCAAUCUGUGUGCUCAGGGGUGAGUCAACUUACUUCUCUACCCCAUGCUUUAAAAAAUUUUUCCACUCAUGAAAGAUGAAGCUUGGACUCUGGUCCUUCUGCUCCUAUCCAGCUCAGACUCUGGGAUUCUGUGGUGCCCGCACAGCACAGUGUGGUCUAGGUGAACACAGAAGUGAUUCUCCUCUGCCUUACAUCUGAUGAGAUGUGAUUGCCUGUGGCUAAUGAGCACAGAUUUGGAGUCAGAGACAUGCGUGUGGGCACCUGUCUUAGCUCUCUUAAUCCAAAUUUCACACUUGAGUCUGGGUGGGAGGGGUUCCAAUGAGACUGGGAAACCUUCAGUGAUCCGAAUGGGGCAUGAUGUUGUCAGAUUCAUUGUGCAGAGGGAUCACUUUGGGGUAGAAUAAAGGAAGGAUUGGAAGGAAACAGUGUCGGAGUGGGGUGGGCAGCAGUUAGGAUGCUGUUGUAGACGUGGGGGUUUGUAGUUAGUGCUCUGACAGGGUGCCUGGCUGGGCUGGCAAGUGAGUGUGUGAGUGUGUAUGUGUGUGUGUGCGUGUGAAGUAGGGUAGUGAUUAAGGCCUGGAGAAAGGACAGCCUUUCUUCCUCCUCUUCCUUCUUCCCUUCCCUUCCCUUUCCCUCCUUUCCUUUUUCCUUUCUCCUUCCGCCCUUCCUCACUCCCUCCCUCUUUCCCUUCUAUCCUUUAUCUUCAGGUGACUUAUGAUACCUAAUACAAUGUAAAAGCUAUGUAAAUAGUUGUUAUACUAUAUUCAUGGAAUAAGGACAAGAAAAAAAUCUGUUCAGCACAGAUGUACAGUCCCCUCCCCCCGCCAUGUUUUCAGUCUUUGGUUGGAUGAAGUCGUAUGUGCAGGUUGGAAGGGGGACCGUAUGUCUCAUCAACAAAAAGGACAGGACCGGUGUCACAACAACAUAGAUGAACUCCCAAAACACAUGCUAACCGAAAUGAGCCAAACACAGAAAGCAACAAAGGGUGUCAUUUCAUUUAUAUUAAAUUCCUAGAGAAAGCCAGUCCUCUAGAGAUAAAUGCUUUCUUGGGGGCUGGAAUAUGAGCAGAGAUGAACUGCUGCAGGGAUGGGGGAAAUUUUGGGGAUGGUAGAAAUGCUUUAAAUUUGAGUCAUGGAGGCAGGUGCACAAUGGUGUAAAUUUACUACAACUUAUCAGAUCUAGAAUUGAAAUAGGUGAACUUCUUGAGUCUAAGUUAUACCUCAAUAAAGCUGUUUUCAGUUUAGAGCUUUAUAAAAGGAAAAGUACAAAAAUAUUGGUGUAGCAUAUGUUUCCUUAAGCAAGUCAUGAAAAACAAAUUAAGAAAAACAUAUUUGACAUAAAAUUUUUAAAAAUUCAUAAUUCAAGACAUUUAAAGUGUAAACAACUCAAAUAAUAGAUUUUGAGAAGCAUUUGAAUCAUUUUUGAGCAAUAAAGACAUAAUCUAUUAUGCAAAAACCUCAGGAAAAUUACAGGAGUCAAAAAUCUUAUCUCAAAUCAACCAAGAUAUUCACAGAUAACAAUACAAAUAGACAAUACAAUGAGAAAAUUUCUUAUGUAGCUAUGAAGUGAAAAUUUAAACUGCAAGUUACCUUAUUUUGGAAAAUCUCUAGCAUUUGGUAAUGCACAUUGUGGAGGUGUAAGAAAUGGCCAGUCUGUUUUGGGACUGAAAAUCAACCGUUUUGGAGACUGACUGGAUAAUAGUUAGUAAAAUUAGAAAUGUGUAUGCUGUUAGUGAAACAAUUCUUCUUCUAACAAUCUGUCUUAUGGGGGGAAAUAGGAUAGAUAUAUCAAGGCAAAUGCAUAAAGAUGUUUUCUGGAUUAUUUAAAAAUAACAAGAAAUAAAAGCCAGGUGGAUUUCUAGAAAUAGGAAUAUAUUUGAAUAUAUUUUGAUGCAUUAAAGUAAUGACAAAGUAAUACAUAUGCAGUCUUAAAAAAGAAUUAGAAAUAUUUAUCUGCAUGGAUUUGGAAAGCUAUAUAUGAUUAUGUUAGUUUUCUACUCCUGUGUAACAACGUAUCAUGCAUUUAGGAACUUGAAAUAACACCUGGGAUUAGUUCACAUUUCUGGAGCUCAGAAGUCUGGCAUGGCUUGGUUCUGUUCACAAAGCAAUCAACACUGUAUGGGCUGCACCGAGUUCUCAUCUGGGAGCUGAAUCCACUGAAUCUCCAGAGUACGAGGCCACCAUUUCCUGCGUGGCUGUCAUAGAUGCUUUCUCAGCUCCUAGAGGCCACCUACACUUCUAGCCAUGUGUCUUCCUUUGUCUUUAAGCCAGAAGGGUGUAUCAGAUCCUUCUCAUGUUUUGAAUCUCUGAUAUCCUCUGUCUCUGACCUGUGGACCCAAAUUGAAAAAGUUCAUUUGAUUCUCUUCAUUUUUAGUGGAAUUGAAUAGAGACCUUAAUUACACCUGCAAAAUCCUUUUUCACAGUAACACUUAGAUUUAUUUUUAUAUGAUUGUGUGAAAUUUUAUAUAUAUCUUUGAUUUUUAGCAGUUUGAUCAUAAAGUGUCUGAUCAUAGUUUUAAGUUUAUCUUGUUUGAGGUUCACGGAAUUUCUUUUUUUUUUUGUAUUAAAUUCUUUUAUUGGUACAUUGUAGGUAUGCAACACAAUUACAUUUCUCAUUGGGAAUUGUACCUUUAUAUAAUGCAUCUUGGUUCUUAUUUUUUCCCCAUUCCUAGCCCUCCCUUCACGCCCUCCACCCUUCCCUAUUUACAAAGACUUUAUUUCCAUUUUUUCCAUUUCUCAGCAUUUUUUCCUUUCCCCUGCCCCUCCCACUACCCCUACCCCUUUGGACC